AUGCCAAUGAGGAAGAUAUCCCCUAAAAAGAUAGGAAGUGCCGUAUGACACACAAAAAAAAACAUUGAAUAUCACGGCAGACACGUUUUUCCCAUCCACCAAUCAACUUAACUAUCCGAUCAUUAACACGAUUUUAUAGUUUGUGUUUUUUGGUCGGGAAUUUGUGUCUGUUUUGUGUUUUCACUGUUUGUGUGUGAUUUGGAACGGGUCUCCUGAGGUUU